GGAAGUUAAAACAGAAACCCUAGCUUAUCCACCACCGCCGCAAGGACUGCCGCCGUCCGUUGCUCUCAGGCACUACCAUUGUCGUCUGGUCGUCCGUGCUUCUUCCUCCUUCAAGAAUCGCAGCUUCUUCUUCCUCAACCUCGGCGCGUCAGUUCCUGGUAUUCAUCUGCUCCAUUGCGAUCUUGCCGCCAUCCGUCGGGCGCUCAGUCACCAUCGUCUUCGUCUGGUCGUCGCAGAUUCUUCCAACCCACCACCGUCUUCUGAGUUGUGUUCGUCGCCUGGCCUCUGUCUCCGUCACGAUUCUGCCCCCCUCUUCUCAGACUGCUCAGAUGAAAAACCCAUCUCCAUUCCAAUUUCCUUCCUUCGAGCUCAGAGAGCAGAAGCUCAACCAAGAAAAAAACCUUAAACUUCGACGGUCAGUUCACUGCUAACUUCUUCUACGUUUUUUAUUUAGCCAUUUGCAAUGAUUAUUUUAUUACUGAAUAUUUGAAUGUUUUGUGUUUUAAUUUUUUAUUGAAUGAUUAUUUGAUUACUAAUGAGCUCUAGUUCUGCUGUGUUGCUAUUUUUGUAUGUUGUGAUAUUUUUUUGAAUGAGCUUCUACUGUGGUGCUGUUUUGUGUGUUGCUGUGUUGCUUUUUUAUGUGUUCUUUAUUUUUUAUUGACAUGCAUCUGAGUGAUAUCACCACUGUAACUUAACUACUAAGUAUUGUAGUACUUGAUUUUAGUUAUAUUUUUAAAUUUCUUGAUUCUUGGUUGGUAUAUUUUCUGCAGAUCUCUAAUAUUCUCUUGGUUGCUAUUCUUGAUUCUUGAUUAUUGUUAUGAUUUUUUAAUGCUUCUAUUUUUUCCUGUUCUAUACUUGACUUGAUUCUGUUCUUUGAUUUUGAUUCUGGAUUCUUGAUUUUUCACUGCAUCUAUUAUGAUUCACCCUAGCACGCUAUUUGAUGUUAUUUCAUAUACGAGUGUUUUAUUUAUAUCAUAAUUAGUAAUACAACUCUAAAUCUUUGAAGUUUGGCUAAUUAUAAUUCAUAGAGCAUGUUACAAAUCAUUUUUAUAAAACUCAGAAGAAAAUUGAAAAGCUGCAUGCCUAUUGAAAGUUGAAACCAAAUUAAUAGUACUGUUUUAACUCUUUCCUAGUAGUCAAUAGCAGAAAUAGGCAUUUGGUUUAAAUAUGCAUGUAAUGUUACAAAGAAUUUGAUCAUUGUUACUUAUCUAGCUUAAAUUUUUAUUUUUUUACCUUUUUGACUAAACAGAUUUUUGUCUCUCUUAAUGACUUUUAGUUUAUCACUGUAAAAUUGAUGAGCAAACCAGAGAGUUUUAAGGAACUAAGACAGCAAUGAAAGAAGGAAAUACUUGCUAUUUAAUUCUUUGUUGAUUGUUAUUAUCAAUCUUAUAUUUGGUUUAAUAUUUCUUCAAUGUCAUUAUCACAUGUUCUCUUAGGUUUUGAGUGGAUGUGAUUUUGGGUUUUACUUAUUUGUUAUCUCUCUACUUUGGUCUUUAGAUUUCAGUGGAUAUGCUUAUAUUCAGAAUUCAGUUGUAUAGAAAGAUAAUAUGAUGUUGCUUACCAACUUUUAUUGAUGACAGAAACUAGGAGAGCUUAUUUAUUUAUUUGUUUAUUCAUUUAAUUUUUGUUCCUUUGCUCAUUUUGUUUUCAUUCAUUUAAGUUUAAAUUUCGAGGGAGCUAAUGAAGGUUUCCCAAAUAUACUCCAUUUUGGUCAAAUUUGGAUCUCUUUUGGUUUAAAUCUAGUUAGGCCACUUUCAGCAUCUCAUUACUGAUUCAGCACACAACUGGAACUAACUUUUACUAGGCAGUAUUGUAUACCCUUAUCAUAAGUGUUCAAAAAUUCUCUGGGUUUAUUCAUUUAUUUUUAGCUCAACUUUUUCUUUAAUAAACCGAAUAUUCUGGUCCUGGUUGUUAUUAUUUUGACUAACGUUAAUUGAAGAAAAUAGAUGAGGCACAUGAUUUAGCUGAUUCAUUCAUCAGCAUGUAUGACUCAAAAAUUACUUUAUCACAGCUGGAGAAUGUGCAUUGCCAUGUAAAACGGUACUUUGUGAGAUUCCACAGUCUUUUGGGACCAGCCAACCGGAGGACAUUAUGGUAAAAGGGGAGGAAAGGUGAGGGGAGAGGAUUAUGUGUGAUAAUAAACUAUUGAUAUGUUUCUUUUCAUGGAGUUUUGCUUUGAUGCAUUACUUUAGUGUUUGUGAAAUUCAGGGCAUGGAUUGGAUCUAUGUGUAGUUUGAACUAGCCCUGCUUGAGCAUUUCCUUUAGAUGGUAAAUGACUGGUUUUGUUUAUCAGUUUAUAAGAGUUUAUCAAUUAAAAAUAUUAUCAGUUGGCAUCACUUUUGGCGGUCCGGCAAUACUCCGCUAUAAGGAUCAAUUUAAAGAAGCUGUCUUCUUGGCUUUUGACUCAACAUCCUAGAAGGUUAAUGGGGCUGCUGAUCAUCUUCUACGAUCCCUUCUUGGAAGUCAAGUUCAUUAUUAUCCAAUAGAUCAGUACAGGAUCUGAAGUCAUUCUCUUCAUUUAUCAUGGCUAUUCUCUUAAGUUCUCAUCAUGAAUCCUUGAAAGCUCAGAAAGCAAUUAAUGGGCUUUUUGUAAAGUACAACAUCCAAUUUUCUGGAGUAUUUAAAAGCUUUUUUAGGAUAUCAGACAAAGACAACCAUACUUGUGGACUGGGAUUUUCAGAUUUGGUUUCUCAGAUUGGCUCUAUGAGUUUUGAUUCCACUGGCUUGCAUUGGCGGUAAAUGGCAACUCAUUUGGCCUUCUUUCUUUUCAUAUUUGACUAGAAUCCUGAGUGAAACAGCUGGUCACUUUUUGAAGAAUUUGAAAAGUCAACUUCCUCAGACAAGGAUACUUGCAAUUUCGGCUUUGAAUACACUCUUAAAGAAAUCACCGUACAAACUGUCACCUGGUGAGAAAUCUGCUGUACUCGAGGAUUUGCAAGGCAAUGCCAAGUCAUCCCUUGAAGAAGCUUUAACUCACACCUUUAAUGGCUAAUAUGGCUAGAACAAUUUUGAGAGAUUCUGACAAACACCAAAAAAAAGUGUGUUGCAUAUUAGUGGAUUUUCUUUUUCUUUUUUUCCAACCUUGUUUUUGUUUUAGUCUAUUCUUUACAGUUCAUUUUUUGUGCUUGACCCUGGUGCCAUUUAAUUCUCUGGGGCCAGUCCCUUGUACUUUUAGGUAACAAAUAAUGAAAAAAAAAUUCCUUCUUUGUAUGCUAUCAUUUGUUAAAGUUACUAUAAAUUCUUCUGUUUCGGUACUCAUUUUCUGUUUGAAUCUAAUAAAACACUAGAAAUUUUAGUACAACAUAUUAACUAACUACUGAACUUCAUUCAAAAUUGAUUUUGACAAGUUCUUUUGUCUCUAGAAACAAGCCAAAGAUGAUACUAUGUGGGAUCGAUAACAUCAGAGAUCUCUUUGGUCCCAAGGUAUUGUUAAGUUAUACCAAAUAUAUGGUCCCGUGCAACAACUUUUUUCUUGAUAAGUUUUACAAGUGAUAUUGUCACAAAACCAUAUAUGCUUCAUGUUUGAUGCAGGUG